CAUUAGCUCGCGUUGAUUUCGUCCCUGCCCUUUGUACACACCGCCCGUCGCUACUACCGAUUGAAUGGUUUAGUGAGGUCCUCCGAUUGGACCCGGUCCGGGCGGCGACGUCCGAGCCGGCGUCCGAGAAGACGAUCUAACUUGAUCAUUUAGAGGAAGUAAAAGUCGUAACAAGGUUUCCGUAGGUGAACCUGCGGAAGGAUCAUUA
rnacentral:ncRNA from 1 species